GAUGAACGCUGGCGGCGUGCCUAAUACAUGCAAGUCGAGCGAACAGACGAGGAGCUUGCUCCUCUGACGUUAGCGGCGGACGGGUGAGUAACACGUGUAUAACCUACCUAUAAGACUGGGAUAACUUCGGGAAACCGGAGCUAAUACCGGAGAAUAUAUUGAACCGCAUUGUUCAAUAGUGAGAGACGGUGUUUCUGUCACUUAUAGAUGGAUCCGCGCCGCAUUAGCUAGUUGGUAAGGUAACGGCUUACCAAGGCAACGAUGCGUAGCCGAACUGAGAGGCGGGUCGGCCACACUGGAACGGAGACACGGUCCAGACUCCUACGGGAGGCAGCAGUAGGGAAUCGUCCGCAAUGGGCGAAAGCAUGACGGAGCAACGCCGCGUGAGUGAUGAAGGUCUUCGGAUCGUAAAACUCUGUUAUUAGGGAAGAACAAAUGUGUAAGUAAAUAUGCACGUAUUGACGGUACCUAAUCAGAAAGCCACGGCUAACUACGUG
rnacentral:rRNA from 1 species